UGUGUGUGUGUGUGUGCGAGUGUGUGCUUGAGUUUGUGCGAGCGCGCGCGUGUAGACGAAGGAGGAUAAGGAUGUGAAGAUGCUGUUGGUGUUAGCGGUGGUGGUGGUGGUGACGGCGGCGCUCUGGGAGGCUGGGUCGAGGUCCGGUCCUUCUUCCACCCUCAGUUCCCGCCUGUGGGUCGUCACUGGGUAGACGUGUGUGGCUGUGCUCGUGCAAUCGUCUUCCACGCCUGCCCGUGGACUCCAGUCAGUCACUCUCUUGACUGAAACAGUUUAUGACACACCCGUGAGUGCUUCCCCGUGACUGGAAAUUUGAAGGCGUUUUGCGACUGAGGCUGGAGUUUUGAACUUUUGAAAACUGCGCGCAUGACGGAAAUUGAAGUGCAUUUGGUGAUUGUCUGGAAAUAUGAAAAUAAGAUUUUUUCCCAGUCUGAAAAUAUGAAGUGCAUGGAAUAUUGAGACAAAAGGAACCGAGAGCUGUGUAGUGAUGGCUAAGUAAUGAACAAUGCCGGAGGGAGCGGACGGGGGAUUUGCGUCUCCUCCAAGGGUCCCUCUCUUUCGCCCUCCUAUGGAUCUAACAAGGAGAAAGGGGUGGCUAACACCUCCUCUUCCGAAUGCAGGCCGACGCGAGGCCUCCUUCAGGAUCCUACUCUCGCCAAAAGACCUUUGACUCCGUGUUGAUGAGGGAGAGCAGACCAGCGCCCGCCGCCAGGGUGGGCCGCGCCGCCGCCGACAUGGGAACCGCCAGAGACGAGGCGGCCAUGAAGAGAUCACGCCAGCACAACAUGCGGGCCUUCAUCAGGGACCACCGCGCCAUGGUGAGUAGUAAGACCUGCCUUCCCCCUGCCCUCCUUCUCCUUCUCCCUCUCCCUCCCUCUCUCUCUCUGGCCCAUAUUCAGAAACGCUUUUGCUCUCUCACCACUGCGACUACUUUCCAAGGCUACAGAGAUGAUUUACCUGG